rnacentral:rRNA from 1 species
UACGGGGGGGGGUAAGCGUUGUUCGGAAUUACUGGGCGUAAAGGGCUCGUAGGCGGCCAACUAAGUCAGACGUGAAAUCCCUCAGCUUAACUGGGGAACUGCGUCUGAUACUGGAUGGCUUGGAUUCGGGGAGAGGAAUGCGGAAUUCCAGGUGUAGCGGUGAAAUGCGUAGAUAUCUGGAGGAACACCGGUGGCGAAGGCGGCAUUCUGGACCGAUAUUGACGCUGAGGAGCGAAAGCCAGGGGAGCAAACGGG